rnacentral:rRNA from 1 species
UGUAGCAAGGUUAACCGAAUAGGGGAGCCGGAGGGAAACCGAGUCUUAACCGGGCGUUAAGUUGCAGGGUAUAGACCCGAAACCCGGUGAUCUAGCCAUGGGCAGGUUGAAGGUUGGGUAACACUAACUGGAGGACCGAACCGACUAAUGUUGAAAAAUUAGCGGAUGACCUGUGGCUGGGGGUGAAAGGCCAAUCAAACCGGGAGAUAGCUGGUUCUCCCCGAAAGCUAUUUAGGUAGCGCCUCGUGAAUUCAUCUCCGGGGGUAGAGCACUGUUUCGGCUAGGGGGCCAUCCCGGCUUACCAACCCGAUGCAAACUGCGAAUACCGGAGAAUGUUAUCACGGGAGACACACGGCGGGUGCUAACGUCCGUCGUGAAGAGGGAAACAACCCAGACCGCCAGCUAAGGUCCCAAAGUCAUGGUUAAGUGGGAAACGAUGUGGGAAGGCCCAGACAGCCAGGAUGUUGGCUUAGAAGCAGCCAUCAUUUAAAGAAAGCGUAAUAGCUCACUGGUCGAGUCGGCCUGCGCGGAAGAUGUAACGGGGCUAAACCAUGCACCGAAGCUGCGGCAGCGACGCUGAUGCGUUGUUGGGUAGGGGAGCG